rnacentral:rRNA from 1 species
GCAAGUAGUGGCGAGCGAACGCGGACCAGGCCAGUGGCAAUUGUGAUUAAAGUGGAACGCUCUGGAAAGUGCGGCCGUAGUGGGUGACAGCCCCGUACGCGUAGAUAUCAUGAUUGUCCUAGAGUAGGGCGGGACACGAGAAAUCCUGUCUGAACAUGGGGAGACCACUCUCCAAGCCUAAGUACUCGUGCAUGACCGAUAGCGAACAAGUACCGUGAGGGAAAGGUGAAAAGCACCCCGACAAGGGGAGUGAAAUAGAACCUGAAACCGGAUGCCUACAAACAGUCGGAGCCCGCAAGGGUGACGGCGUACCUUUUGUAUAAUGGGUCAACGACUUAGUGUAACAAGCAAGCUUAAGCCGGUAGGUGUAGGCGAAGCGAAAGCGAGUCUGAAUAGGGCGAUUUAGUUUGUUGCAUUAGACCCGAAACCGAGUGAUCUAGCCAUGAGCAGGUUGAAGGUUGGGUAACACCAACUGGAGGACCGAACCCGCAUCUGUUGCAAUAGAUUGGGAUGACUUGUGGCUAGGGGUGAAAGGCCAAUCAAACUCGGAAAUAGCUGGUUCUCCGCGAAAUCUAUUUAGGUAGAGCGUCGAGCGAAUACCCCCGGGGGUAGAGCACUGGAUGGGCUAUGGGGACUCACCGUCUUACUGAUCCUAACCAAACUCCGAAUACCGGGGAGUACUACUCGGCAGACACACGGCGGGUGCUAACGUCCGUCGUGAAAAGGGCAACAACCCUAACCUCCAGCUAAGGUCCCCAAGUCAUGGCUAAGUGGGAAAGGAUGUGAGGAUCCCAAAACAACCAGGAUGUUGGCUUAGAAGCAGCCAUCAUUUAAAGAAAGCGUAACAGCUCACUGGUCUAAAUAAGGGUCUUUGCGCCGAAAAUGUAACGGGGCUGAAGCCAUGCACCGAAGCUGAGGAU